rnacentral:rRNA from 1 species
AGGCGGUUCGGUAAGUCUGCCGUGAAAACCUGGGGCUCAACCCCGGGCGUGCGGUGGAUACUGCCGGGCUAGAGGAUGGUAGAGGCGAGUGGAAUUCCCGGUGUAGCGGUGAAAUGCGCAGAUAUCGGGAGGAACACCAGUAGCGAAGGCGGCUCGCUGGGCCAUUCCUGACGCUGAGACGCGAAAGCUAGGGGAGCAAACAGGAUUAGAUACCCUGGUAGUCCUAGCCGUAAACGAUGAACACUAGGUGUGGGGGGAGUCGAAUCCCCCUGUGCCGAAGCCAACGCGUUAAGUGUUCCGCCUGGGGAGUACGGCCGCAAGGCUAAAACUCAAAAGAAUUGACGGGGGCCCGCACAAGCAGCGGAGCAUGUUCUUUAAUUCGAUGCAACGCGAAGAACCUUACCUGGACUUGACAUGGUGCUGCAAGCGCACGGAAACGUGUGACCUUCGAGGGUGCACCACAGAUGCUGCAUGGCUGUCGUCAGCUCGUGUCGUGAGAUGUUGGGUUAAGUCCCGCAACGAGCGCAACCCCCGUGGCGUGUUGCCAGCAUUAAGUUGGGGACUCACGCCAGACUGCCGGUGACAAACCGGAGGAAGGCGGGGAUGACGUCAAGUCCUCAUGGCCCUUACGGGGUGGGCUACACACGUGCUACAAUGGCGACUACAGAGGGCUGCAAACCAGCGAUGGGGAGCCAAUCCCUAAAAGUCGUCUCAGUUCGGAUUGCACUCUGCAACUCGAGUGCAUGAAGUUGGAAUCGCUAGUAAUC